rnacentral:rRNA from 1 species
AGUCGAGCGGGCGAGGUUGCUUCGGUAACUGAGCUAGCGGCGGACGGGUGAGUAAUGCUUAGGAAUCUGCCUAUUAGUGGGGGACAACAUUCCGAAAGGGAUGCUAAUACCGCAUACGUCCUACGGGAGAAAGCAGGGGNUCUUUAUGACCUUGCGCUAAUAGAUGAGCCUAAGUCGGAUUAGCUAGUUGGUGGGGUAAAGGCCUACCAAGGCGACGAUCUGUAGCGGGUCUGAAAGGAUGAUCCGCCACACUGGGACUGAAACACGGCCCAGACUCCUACGGGAGGCAGCAGUGGGGAAUAUUGGACAAUGGGGGGAACCCUGAUCCAGCCAUGCCGCGUGUGUGAAGAAGGCCUUUUGGUUGUAAAGCACUUUAAGCGAGGAGGAGGCUUACCUGGUUAAUACCUGGGAUAAGUGGACGUUACCCGCAGAAUAAGCACCGGCUAACUCUGUGCCAGCAGCCGCGGUAAUACAGAGGGUGCGAGCGUUAAUCGGAUUUACUGGGCGUAAAGCGCGCGUAGGUGGUUAAUUAAGUCAAAUGUGAAAUCCCCGAGCUUAACUUGGGAAUUGCAUUCGAUACUGGUUAGCUAGAGUAUGGGA